rnacentral:lncRNA from 1 species
GCUAUUCACACUGCCUAACUUAUUUAACUACUAGCGUGACCCUCUGCUGUAGUUUUGCCACAUCUGAUACUGCUCUCCCAAGAGAUGGGCAGGAACAGGCAUUUUUCCCAGCAGACAACAUGAUAUGGCUCAGUGUUUCAUGCAGACAGCAAAGAGAAGGGUUGGUCAUAACACCAUAAAUCAGAAUGUACAGCUUGCUCGAGACAGAGAGCAGGUUACAGUGUAUUUUGUUUGCCUGUAGAUAAAUACAGCAGUGUGUUCUGGCCUAGCAGAAGGCAGGAGCUCAGCAGACAACCUCCUGAGGACUGUGUAAGAAAUGUAUCACACUUCGCAGAAAGGAUUAUAGAGAUUCAGUGUUCCCAGAUUUCAAUGAAGGCAAUAGAGAGGUCAUCAGAGAAACAAUAGCUGGAAGUAUCAGUGAGAAUUAAUUACUGGUGGAUGAGUACUGCAAAGUCAGCAAUCCUAUGAGGACGGAUUCUUAGCAGUCUGCUGUACAGGAUUUAAUGGAAAUAUGCCACUUUGCAGGAGCUGCAGAUCUAGCACUUUGAACACUGGUUAGUGAACAAAAACACUUGCCGCCAAUGUGAGAACUAUUUUCUUAUUUCAUAUCACAGUGUCUUCAGUCCUUCUAAUAAACAAGGAG